rnacentral:rRNA from 1 species
GACAGGAGGGGCAAACGUUAUUCAUCUUGAUUGGGCGCAAAGGGUAUGUAGGCUGUUUGUAAUAAAUCUCAGUUUAAAAGCUAAAACAAUAUUUUAGAAUCGAUUGAGAUAUUCAUACAACUAGAGUCCCACACAUGUUAUAAGGAAUUCCCGGAGAAGCAUUAAAAUGUGUAGAUACCAGGAGGAACACUGUAAAUGAAAAUGGUUUUCAUUGUGUGACUGACGCUGAGGUACGAAGGCACGGGGAGCAAACAGG